rnacentral:lncRNA from 1 species
CACUGGGAUGCUUCGGAGCACUGUGGAAUUUUGUCACAGGGAAGUGGAACAUGCAACAUGAUGCUAUGGGAUGAUCGUAUAAAUGCAUCAAACCCUAAGUGUGAUGCAUGGUACAAGAGAUACUGUGGACAUUAUUCAUACACUAUUUACGAGCAGAACUGCUCACGGAAAGGGUGAAUGUAAACUCUUCCGAAACAA